AACCUCCCCAAAACCCCAUCUCUUUCUGAAGCCUAAACCCUAGAGGAAGCCCUCCAGGACUAGCAACUCUCUCCAAUGGCGUCUCGCUGCCGCACCCUGUCAAGACCAGCCUUUAACCUAAUCAGAUCUACAGUCUCCAAACCCACACUAAAGCCCAAUUUUUCCCUUCAGAGUACUAGCUCCCUUCCGACGCUUCCUAGGCCAUUGCCUCAAAUGGGUGCUCUUCAAUCCCUGCUACCGCUCUACUCCGCCGUCUCUUCUGCCCGCCUCACCUCUUGCCUCGGCCUCGACUCUAAGUGCUCCCGCUCGUUGUCUCAGGGUAUGAUCUGCAGUGCCAAUCCAGGAGUUUGAUACCUAUUUUGUAAUGUAUCUAUCUAAUUAGGUCUUUCUGUGCCUCGAUAAGAGACUUACGCCAAAGAUUGAAGAUGUGGUUUGACAUGGCAUCUUAUAUUAUAACAUGAAUUUGGCGUCAUAUGUUUCUCAUACCUCCUGUUUGAAAGUUCUGUAUACUAUAAACGUUGAUGCUACUACUUUUAGAGUCUUCCAAUUUAUGCUACUAUUUUCUUACAUUUGCUGAUUUGCAUGACAUCUCUCCUUCCAAAUCUCCAAUUGAUUUGUUGCGCUGCUAA